UCCGAUAUGGUGUAACGGCUAACAUUGCCGCCUUUCAAGAGGGCGCGGCAGCUCGGGGUUCGAUUCCCCGUAUCGGAG
rnacentral:tRNA from 1 species